ACGAACGCUGGCGGCGUGCUUAACCCCUGCAAGUCGAACGCUGAAGCUCAGCUUUUGUUGGGUGGAUGAGUGGCGAACGGGUGAGUAACACGUGAGUAACCUGCCUCCUUCUUUGGGAUAACGCCCGGAAACGGGUGCUAAUACUGGAUAUUCACUGGUCUUCGCAUGGGGGUUGGUGGAAAGGGUUUUUCUGGUGGGGGAUGGGCUCGCGGCCUAUCAGCUUGUUGGUGGGGUGAUGGCCUACCAAGGCUUUGACGGGUAGCCGGCCUGAGAGGGUGACCGGUCACAUUGGGACUGAGAUACGGCCCAGACUCCUACGGGAGGCAGCAGUGGGGAAUAUUGCACAAUGGGCGCAAGCCUGAUGCAGCGACGCCGCGUGAGGGAUGGAGGCCUUCGGGUUGUGAACCUCUUUCGCUCAUGGUCAAGCCGCAACAAUGGUUGUGGUGAGGGUAGUGGGUAAAGAAGCGCCGGCUAACUACGUG
rnacentral:rRNA from 1 species